CACUCACUUUCUAUCCUUCUUAUCUUGACUACACACCCCCUUUGCAGUCUUUAACCGUCUUUACCGUGGCAACGGUCACACCUUACCAUAAAGAGACGGAGACCGUUGCACCACCACCGCCACCGGGAGGGAUGAGGACUGGGUGUGUGUGUGAGGCUAGAGAGAGUGUUCUCCUGAUGACCAAACGUUCAAGGCUGUGUUGUAGUAGUAGUGUGUUGAAGUGGCAGUAUCCUCCUCCGUUUAGACUACCUGACGUUGUUGUUGUUGUUGUUAUCAUACUAGACCACAACUAUCACAUGAUCUUCGACGUCAAUAAAGAUAAACGUCAUUCAAAUCAUCCACUCUUGUCUGUGGUUUUUACAUGUUGCUUAAUAAGGUUGUUUUUAUAUAUUUAUUCAUGUGUUGAGAGUGUUUUAUAUUUUCUCUAUGUAGCCAGACGUUCUCAUACCAGAGUGACGUAGUUCAGGCAGUGCCUUCAACUAUGGUUCAUUAACAGGCAGCGCAACUAUGGUGCAUUAACUGGUGUCCUGUCUUCACGGUAAAUUGUUUGUGUUCCUCAUCAAUCUUCACACAAUACCCCAUAAUGACAAAGUAAAAAUAGAUUUAGAAAGCGUCACCUUUUUCAUAUUAGCUGAGAACGCUUGCUCUGCGUCUGCGCACUCACUUUUCACUGUCUGUUACUUGAUUUGAGUGGUGGUUAGAGCGUCACGAGGUAUUUGGUUCUCUGUCCGUUCUCUUUUCUGUAGCCCGUUGCGUUUUCUUAUUGCGGCACGCCCUCGCAAUGUCCUAUCAUCCCACAUGCAUCACACUUUUCAUGUUUGAAUUUAGUCAGACGCUCUGUGUUGGCCUUAGCAACGAUAACAGUUUAUUGGCUGCUUCCCCUUCUUUGAAACCAGCGCAUUUCUAUGAAUGGUUUAUCAGGGCGCAACAGGUUUCUCAUUGAGUUUCAUGUUUGUCCACCGACAACGCGUAUGAGUAUGGAUUUCUGUUUAGCGGCAUCAGUUAUUUCAUUAGCAGCAAAGAAACGUUACAUUAUUUCACAGUACUCCUCCCAUUCCUGAUUUGUAGGAUCAACUGGUGGUAGCGAACCUAUUGUUGCCAAAGCCAUCUUUUCCAAUUCUCUCUCCCCGCACACAGUCAAUAAUUUGUACUACCCGGGAAUCCAUCCUCCAGAAUCUUCCACCGCUCCCUUUAGUCUCGCAUCCAGCGUCGCGCGCCAAACUCCGUUGAAUGCGUGGCAAACAAAUCCAACGCUGUCCUCCAUAGUUAUCCUCAUCGACAAAUAUGUAGUGUUUUAGGAUGCUUCUUAAAAGCAAACCCCGUAUUGAGUCAAUACUGCCAUCUAUUGGUAAACAUAAUACUUAACAUAAAUAUACCAGGUUACUACAGUACCAAUUUCCAAAACAUCGUUUUAGAGAAUUUGGCAGUACGUCCAACCAGUCUCACAACGGGCAGACCACUUGUAACCACGCCAGCCCAGGACCUCCACAUCCGGCUAUUUCAUCUGUGGGGUCGUCUUGAGACCAGCCACCUGGACAGCUGAUGAAACUGAGGGUUUCUGCACAAACUGUCACACCAGGGGUCUUGACCUGACUGCAGUUCGGCAUUGUAACCGAUUUCAGCGGGUAAAUGCUCCCCGUCACUCUGGAGAAGUGGGCUCUUCACCUAUUAAUCCUGGUUUCUACUGUAGACGGCUGACAGCGUGUAUGACGUCGUGUGUUCGAGCAGUUUGCUGAUGUCAACGUUGUUAACAGACUGCGUGCGUUAUCAUACUGAAACAUGAGGUGAUGGAGUCGGAUGAAUGGCACGAAAAUGGACCUCAGGAUCUCUGUGCAUUGAAAUUGGCAACAAUAAAUGUGUUUGUUGUCCGUAGCUUACGCCUGCCUAUGCC
rnacentral:lncRNA from 13 species